rnacentral:rRNA from 1 species
AUUGAACGCUGGCGGCAGGCUUAACACAUGCAAGUCGAGCGGAGAUGAGGUGCUUGCACCUUAUCUUAGCGGCGGACGGGUGAGUAAUGCUUAGGAAUCUGCCUAUUAGUGGGGGACAACAUUCCGAAAGGAAUGCUAAUACCGCAUACGUCCUACGGGAGAAAGCAGGGGACCUUCGGGCCUUGCGCUAAUAGAUGAGCCUAAGUCGGAUUAGCUAGUUGGUGGGGUAAAGGCCUACCAAGGCGACGAUCUGUAGCGGGUCUGAGAGGAUGAUCCGCCAAGCUGGGACUGAGACACGGCCCAGACUCCUACGGGAGGCAGCAGUGGGGAAUAGUGGACAAUGGGCGGGAGCCUGAUCCAGCCAUGCCGCGUGUGUGAAGAAGGCCUUUUGGUUGUAAAGCACUUUAAGCGAGGAGGAGGCUACUUAGAUUAAUACUCUAGGAUAGUGGACGUUACUCGCAGAAUAAGCACCGGCUAACUCUGUGCCAGCAGCCGCGGUAACAC